UGGGGAAUCUUGGACAAUGGGCGCAAGCCUGAUCCAGCCAUGCCGCGUGGAUGAUGAAGGCCUUAGGGUUGUAAAAUCCUUUCGCCGAGGACGAUAAUGACGGUACUCGGAGAGGAAGCUCCGGCUAACUUCGUGCCAGCAGCCGCGGUAAUACGAAGGGGGCUAGCGUUGUUCGGAUUUACUGGGCGUAAAGCGCGUGUAGGCGGGUCGUUAAGUUGGGGGUGAAAUCCCGAGGCUCAACCUCGGAACUGCCUUCAAAACUGGCGACCUGGACCUAAGUAGAGGCAAGUGGAAUUGCGAGUGUAGAGGUGAAAUUCGUAGAUAUUCGCAGGAACACCAGUGGCGAAGGCGACUUGCUGGACUUAUGGUGACGCUGAGACGCGAAAGCGUGGGGAGCAAACAGGAUUAGAUACCCCCGUAGUCCCUGAGCGGGCUGGCAAGGCGCAU
rnacentral:rRNA from 1 species